GAAUUAUCCAUUAAACAAAAAUAUUUUCAUUCAAAUCCAACCUUCCUAAAACAUAAUUCGACAACAUUUUUCCUCGAUCUUACAGCCUUCUUUAUUCCUCAAUAAAUUCACUAACCGUUACAAUUUUUAACCAAUUAUUCAGCAUAAAUUCUAUCAUCCCAUUUACAAUUAUUCCUCAAUAAACACAUUCACAAUUCUUCUCACAAACAACCUUGCUUCUUUCAUUGAACAAUUUCGUUUUUUACCCUUUGUUUUCCUUUAUUUUUCCUCCCCUAUUCUUCUAUUUUUCCAUGGCAUCGAUACCUCUUAUUACCAAAACAACAUCCAAACCUCCUAUAACCAACACAACUAUUCCAAAGAAUGCUCGCGGAAAUAAAUCGGAUCCGGCAUAGAAACACUGUUUUCCUAUUCCGGACAAAAAAAAGGUGGAAGUGAAACUAUUGUGGGGAAGAGUUUAGUGGAGGAGUUUAUCGACUCAAAUAUCAUUUAGUUGGUACUAGUAAGAACGUGAAGCCUUGCAAAGCUGUUUCAGAUGAAGUUAAGAAGGGAAUAAUGACGGUUGUUGUUGAUUUGCAAACUAAGCUAAUUAAGAAAUCAAUUUUGUAUGACAUUGAAGAGCCUAAUAGUGUCGGUGGAUCAUCCAGCUUUAUUGCAAAAAGAAAAAGUGAAGAACGGAUUUUGAACUCCACAAAUAUGUUUAAGAAACGUGGAGUAAUGUAAUUCCAUUAAAUGUCACUAACAGUGAAAAAUGGAAUCAUAUGUUUGAACUUGUUGCUGAACAUGGUCCAGGAUUUAAACCACCAUCCAGUUAUGAGGUUCGAGGGAAAUAUUUAAAUCAUCACUAGAACAAGAUCAAUGAUGAUUUAGAUGAACAUAAGGUUGUUUGAAAGAAGUUAGGAUGCACCGUAAUGACUUAUGGAUGGACCGAUAAAAGGAGAAGGACCAUACUUAAUUUUUUGGUGAAUGUUUUCUAUUGAUGCAUCGAACAUAAGCAAGACUGCAGACAAGGUAUUUAAGAUGAUUAAUGAUGUUGUCGAGGAAGUUGAGGAGGAUAAUAUUGUCCAAAUUGUUACAGACAAUGCAGUGAAUUACAAAGCAGCCGGAGAUUUGUUAAUGCAAAAGCGGAAGCAGCUGUAUUGGACACAUUGUGUUGCAUAUUGUAUCGACUUAAUGUUAGACGAUUUAGAAAACAAGAUCACACUGCACAAAGAGGCGAUUUUAAGAGGUAAGAGGAUCACAACCUCUAUUUAUGCAAUAACAGGUAUAAUUUCAUUAUUGCAUAAAUUUACUAAAGAUUGUGAUUGAUUCGACUCGGCCUAACUCGCUUUGCCACUUCAUAUUUGACUUUGGGCUGUUUGUAUGAAAAUAUGGCAUCGCUAAAAAACAUGUUUACAUCCAACGAAUGAAAUUCUAGUAAACUUGCAAAGAGUAGUGAUGAGAUCAUUGUGGAAUGUUUGGUUACUGAUAAGAAAUUUUGGAAAGAUGUUAUGUAUUACAUAAGGGGUGUUUUCCCCCUAAUUAGGGUGCUUCGCAUGGUGGAUUCAGAUGAGAAACUAGCCAUGGAUUACAUUUAUGAAGAGAUGGACCAAGCAAAAGAAAGGAUUUGAUCAGACUUAAAAUUAAGGAGUUGGUAGAAGCUACAAACCGAUAUCGAAAAUUAUUGAUGAAAGAUGGGAUAAACAACUACAUCGGCCAUUGCAUGCUGCUGGAAAUUUUCUUAACCCAAUCUUACAUUAUGCUCCUGAAUACACUAGUGAUAAUGAAGUUGUAGAAGGGAUGUAUGAAUGUUUGAAUAGAAUGGUGCCAGACUUAGAAAAGCGCUCUAAGAUUGAUUACCAACUAGAAAACUUCAAAGAAAAUGAUGGAAGCUUUGGUAGUGAUUUAGCCAUGCUCGCACUUAAAGCAAAAUACCAACACAAUGGUGGGGAUCUUAUGCUCGUGUUGAGUUUAACUUGCAGUUCAUCUGGUUGUGAAAGGAAUUGGAGUGUCUUUGAAAGAGUCCACACAAAAAUAAAUCGUUUAAAGCAAAAGACAAUGAAUGAUGUUGUUUUUGGGCAAAAAGAAGGAAACUAGGAAAUCAUCUUAUAACUUUUAUAAAGAUAUUUCAUGUGAAGAUGAAUGGCAAGAGGAUAGAGAUGGUAAUGAUCGUAUAGAUGAAGACGUCAUGCUUAAUGUUGGAGAAAAUGUUCCUAUUGGUGGUGUUGGAGAUGAUUUGGAUGUUCCUCCUAGUCUUUUUAAUGUUGAUCAUUCGGUUGAUGAAUAAUUAGAAGAGAAUAAAGAUGAAGAAAUAGAAUAGAAUGAAGACGAAAAUGGUGAUGAA